rnacentral:rRNA from 1 species
CAUUAAUGUACAUUGUAGCUUUGUCUUAGUUAAUAUAACUAAAAUAAUUUGGCAGUGAGCGACUCUUUUUAGGGGAAGGUGUGGUGUAAAGGAUGUUCCGCCUAAUAAUUUACUUUCGUUAUGUUGGUGUAUAUCUGGUUUAAUAUUAUCGUUGAGUAAGUGAGUUUGUGUAGUUUUAUUUAAGCCAAGUCUAUGUGCUGCUUAUGAAAGUAUUCAUGCGUUACAUUUAUAAGGUUUUGGUUGUAAUACUAAAAUAUUUAGGACUUAAAAGUAAUGUUCAAUAAGUUUGUGAGUGUGAAGUAAGUUUAGCUCA